GAUGUUUCGAAUAUCCACAGCCAGUGCGGUUAUAUUUAUUCUUGAGCAGGUGGUGUUCUGAGUACAUGCUCCUCUGUUGAAAGGCUCACCUAGGGGCCAAGGAUACGCGAAGCAGCUCUUUGCAGUCAUGAUCCUGCUUGCUUACGUCUCCUGCUCUGGUUUACUGGAUCUACAGAUUGCCCUCUGACAGAAGACAACCUUCAAGAAAGAUGCAUUAGG